UUUUUAAUGUGUUUAGAUGGAAAACAGGGCAUGCUGCAUUUUGUUUAAAGGUUUUAAAAGUCUAGUGGUUUACCAUGAGAAGGACAUGGAUAUCAGAGUUCUUAAUAAAGUUGCACUUCGAAAUAAGCCAGGGUACUUCCUGCUUUCAACAUCCUAUUUCUUUUCGACUUUUGUAGCAAGGGAGGGGAGGGGGUUACAAAACUUGCACGAAGUAAUCUUUCAUUUGAUGAAUCACCAAGACUUCAUUCUUUAUUGUUGAUUCUAGCAAAUGUAAGUUGUAAAUCCUUUAUGAAUAUAUAAAAGUCAUCAUGAAAUUCAAA